rnacentral:rRNA from 1 species
AUUGAACGCUGGCGGCGUGCCUUACACAUGCAAGUCGAGCGGCCGCACGAGGAUGUUGGUCCUUUGGCCUGCGAGGGGGAAAGGGGAGUAACAUAUGUAUGACCUACCUAUGUAAUGGGGAUUACUUCAGGAAACCAGAGCUUAAACCCGAUAACAUGUUGAACCACAAGGUUCGGCAUUGAAAGACCGCCUUGCUGUCACUUGUCCAAGGAUCCACUCCCUAGUUGCUGGUUGGUAAGGUAACGGCUUACACAAGCAACAAUGCGUCUCCGACCUGAAAGGGUGAUCGGCCACCUUGGAACUGAGACACAGUCCAGACUCCUACGGGAGGGGGCAAUUUGGAAUCUUCCGGGAUGGGCGAAAGCCUGACGGAGCAACGCCGCGUGAGUGAAGAAGGUCUUCGGAUCGUAAAACUCUGUUAUUAGGGAAGAACAAAUGUGUAAGUAUCUAUGUGCGUCUUGACGGUACCUAAUCAGAAAGCCACGGCGUAACUACGUGCCACCAGCCGCGGUAAUACGUAAGUGGCAAGCGUAAUUCCUGAAUUAUUGGGCGUAAAGCGCGCGUUAGCGGUUUUUUAUGUCUGAUGUGAAAGCCCACCGCUCGACCUUGGAGGGGCACUGGAUACUGGAAAUCUUGAGUACGGAAGAAGAAAGUGGAAUUCCAUGUGUAGCUGUGAAAUGCUCUGAGAUAUGGACGAACACCAAUGGCGACCGCGACUUUCUGGUCUGUAACUGACCCUGAUGUGCGAAGGCGUGGAGAUGAAACAAGACUAUAUACCCUUGUGGUCCAAUGGCGAAUUCCAUAUUGAAUAUCUCGCUUAUCGAUACCGUGAGCGCGACGGGGGCCCGGUUUCAUUUCUUGUUCUCUUUAAUAAAUGGUAACUGCGCGCUUGCCGGAUCAGGUCUACAAGUUCAA